rnacentral:rRNA from 1 species
UACAGAGGGUGCAAGCGUUAAUCGGAUUUACUGGGCGUAAAGGGCGCGUAGGCGGUUAUUUAAGUUAGAUGUGAAAUCCCUGGGCUUAACCUAGGAACUGCAUUUAAUACUGGAUAACUGGAGUACUGUAGAGGGUAGUGGAAUUUCCGGUGUAGCGGUGAAAUGCGUAGAGAUCGGAAGGAACACCAGUGGCGAAGGCGGCUACCUGGACAGAUACUGACGCUGAGGCGCGAGAGCGUGGGGAGCAAACAGG